rnacentral:lncRNA from 1 species
AGGACGCUGCUCGCCGAUGACGUUUCUGCAGGUGAUUCUGGGGCAGGCACAGCUCCUAGAGCACUGGAUCAGCUGGUGGAAAUGUCCCAGAACAAAGGAACGGGAUACUUGCCCAACAAAACCCUGACUUCAAGGCAGGUGCCGUCGUGACACAGAAGGGGAGACAAAGCCCAGAGAGUUCAGGAUCUGCUCCGUGUGGUUCCUUGGGCCACUCACUCGGCGUCAAGGUGAUCAUCAGAAGACAAAUGCGGCUCUGGUUCUGAUGUGUGAAUUUGGGGCAGAGACACACAAGAAACAAGAAGAUAUCAGAUGGGCACUUGCUUCCAAACGAGGACCCGGAGGCUGAGGAACGACAGGAGUAUUUCCUGGGUCCCUCUUGGGCUACCUGAGGCCAGGGGCGUGCUCCUCCUUCUAGGGCGUGAUCUUCUCUUCUAGCGGGGACACAGCUCGUCCCUUGAGACCGAGGGCAGCCUUCCCUUCAGGUCCCGGGGAAAGGAGGUGAGCAAACUAUAGAAGGGCCAUCGGGUAAAUGGCAUUUGGGCAAAUGACCCAAACAUCAUCUGGGUCCCCAGAGGGUGGAGCCUGGAUGCCGCUUGCUGUGGGA